UAUUUCCCUGGAAUCAUAAAUGAUCAUGACACUGUGAAAAUGCAAAUUUAUAUAAAUAAGCAGUGAAAAUAAUUAAACUCAGAUGGUUUAUUAUUAUUCUAUUGUAUAUAUAUUUUUAUGCAUUUUAAUUUAUGAACGAUAAUAAUAAUAAUAAUAGAUAAUUGAAUAUUUACAUUUAAAUAAAUAUCAAUGAGUAAAAAGCUUCAUGAUUUUAAAAUAGUUAUAUGUUAUAAGCUUAUAUUAAUCAUUAUAAUACAUUGAAUUAGCAAUUUUUUAAAAUUAAAUAUUAGAAAAAUGUAAUGAUGUAAAUGAUGAGAAACCUUGGUAUUCCAGCUUGAAACCAGGGAGCUUUUCGUAGUUCAGCUUCUUCACUGCGGUUAUUAAGGCUAUCCGUUCUUUCAGGAAGAGGUGGUGGGGUCGGUGUGGAACCAUGUGUACUUCCAUCAGCGGGUACUGAACUGCUCGAGGUACUAAUCUGAGAUCUUCUCUUCGAUUUGAAUUCUGUUUCCGUACCAGAGCUGGGAGAAUUAUGUCCUAUCCUUGAUGGAGGCGUUGAUGGUAUUGUCCAGGCUCUCAGAUGGGGGUAUCUUGUUGUACGCCGGCCUCGUGCCCUCGGACUCGAUGAUCGCCUCGUUUAUAUAACCCCCAGAAUGCGGCCUGUUUGACGGGCUCGUCGGUGUGCUGCUACCACUGACGAGGGGGCAGCUGUCAUCCUCACCGUUCAACCCAAGAACGUCACGUCCACCUGUCAAACCCAUCGCCAGCCGCUUUAUCAGAGGCGGCUUGUCCGUUAGUCUCUUGUACGAAUUUAGCUCCGUAGGUGAGUUGCUCUCAUCGCUGCUCGGUGUGCUCUGCUGAGAGAUACUCUUUGGCUCAUCCUCGUUCGUUAUUGGGCCGAGAACGUUGGUGAAGUUGUGCGUCGGCCGUAGACCCGGGAUCGAGUUCGGUGUCUGAUUCGGUGCAAAGAAAUGGUUGAUCAGUCUCCAUGGUAUGUACAACUUAACGAUGACGUUCGAACACAUUUCUAUCGCAGAGAACGCGAGAGAAAUGCGAGUGUAAACGCGGAUUCGAUUUUCUUUAAUCUUUUUCCUUAUCUAGAACGAUUACAGUAACUUGUGAUUAGUGUUCUUCGUUUAUCGAGAAUAAUCAUCGAGGUAAUUUAUGAUAAUGUUGGUUAUAAAUGAUAAUGAAAAUCUUUGAGAAAAUUUAUUUCUAAGAUGUAACAAAUACGUGCAUUCAACUUGCAAAUAAAGUCUUGAUGAAUUUUAAUGUA